rnacentral:lncRNA from 1 species
UGAAAGGCUCAUGACGUUCACAACAGAAUGUACCAUCUGGAGAUGCCAGGCACUUCUGUGCUCUAGCAACAUUAACUUCACACGCAGAGAUGGGAAAUACCGACAGAGAAAGAAACUGCGAACUGCGGCUUGUUCAAACAGUUUGCGCUCGCAAAAACUCUUCAAGGACAACGGGUAAGAUGUACGUGGAAGUUAAUAUUGAGGGGGCAGAUUCUGGAGCGGAGGAUGAAAUUCACACGUUCCAGGAAUCACGAGAUGAGCGGGGCACCCGGCUGGACCCUAACUGCCCAGCCCACCUGCAGCAGGGCAGGAGCUGCUGCGCACCUUGUGGGAGACGCCGGGAGCGGAAUGGACGUGGCACCCCCUCGGCCCUCGGGGCUAUCGUCAGGGGGAGGGGAGGCAGAGGUGGAGAGCCCCCAGCGACCGCGCAGGCGCACUGUCAACCAGCGAGCGAAGUCGGCCCGGCGAGGCGCUCCGGAGCCGCCAGGAAGAAGGCGCAUGCGCAGCCCGUGGGGCGUGCACACUCGGCCAGAGCCCGCCCCUUCCUUCCCAGAGAGGAAGUGCGUAGGCGGGUUUGGCGCAUGCCAGAAUUCCCAGUACAGAACCUUACGGCGUGAAGCGCCGUGAGCGAGCCGGUUCUUCCGCCACAGAACACCAGGCCUUUCUCGAGACCUCUGACCUUUCACUGGGCGAGACGGCCGCGAGUCCCACGCAUGCUCAGUACUUCCGUGUGGGCCUUGGCGCUCAGUGAACAGUCUGCUUCCGGUGACCCACCAAGCACCUGGGGUUGCUGGGGUGAGGGUGGACAAGACGGCUAGUAGAAGAAAAAGUUUUAAAAAUACACUUAGCUUUCUGUUCCGGGCAGUGGUGGCGCACGCCUUUAAUCCCAGCACUUGGGAGGUUGAGUUCGAGGCCAGCCAGGUCUUAGAGGUAAGGUUUUCCAAUUAACCAGCGCCUGAUAAACCAACUGGAACUGCAGGACGACCAGUAUCGUGAACAUCAGUGCAGCAGUUCUGGUCACCUGGAUUUAUAAACACCAAGAAGUAGCAACAGCCAGUGUGCAAGUCACUGACAACCCAAGUCACCAAAAAUCUUACUGAGAACCCAUUAGCUCCUUGAAUUAAAGAUUAUUUUGUGAAAAGAGGCUUGAUCGUCUUGUUCUGCACCUGAAAUAAAGCAUUUCCCAUUCUGUUGUUUUAAAAUAUUUACUCUGU